AUGGUUUCGAUCUUUCUUUUUUUUUUUAAAGAUACAUUUAGAAGCCUAAUCUCUGGGACUUUUUUUCUUUUUGGGGGGGAGGGUUGGGGGGGGGAGUUCUCUAUCGGAGACACCAUUUUACGCCAGCACAGCGGCAGGGAAGUAUUUUUAGCGGUCUCCCCUCCCGGGCGGCUGCGGCGUUUCGGCGUUCCCCUCCAUUGGGUGGAACAGAGCGCCGGCGCGGCGCCCCCCGCCGCCGGGGAGCCCGGCCGGGGUGCGCGGCCCCAGCCCUGCCCGCCUCCCGCCGCGCCGCGGGGGCCGGGCCUGCGCGGCCGCGCCGGGCACUGCACCGCGCCGCGGGGCCGGCGGGAUGGAUGCGCGCCGCGCUGCUUAAAGGAUGCGGGCUCAGGCGGGAAAAUGAGUCUGGAAGAAAAUUGGUGAAUUCAAUCCAGAGGACCUACAAGCACUCUGACAGGCUCAGAGAGCAGAGUCUGUACCAAAGAGCAAUUACCCCACCAAACGAUUUCAGGUACAAUUGACCUAAAUAUAGCACUCUCUUGAGAUUAUUGACAAGAGUUCAUUUCCUGUAGUGCUUUUCCCA
rnacentral:lncRNA from 1 species